AGCCACGGAGACUUCUGGCGCUUGCAAGUGAUCUUCUGGCGGUUGAAACAGUGAGAUAGGUGCGAGUGUGCUGGUGCGUUCGGUGUGGUGAUGACUGACUAGUGCUGGACCCAUUUCCGAAUAACUUUGAGGGUUUGGGGUGACCUGGCUCUCGUCGUGGGUCACGCCGGCGAGAAUGGCAUUAGGACAAAGUCACCUCAAUGACGCGACAGGCGUGCUACACCGCACAACUCCUGCCUCCGGAGGGCGCCACACCCGUUGAAGAUGACGACCUGGCGGCCACCUUGGUGAUCGGUGGCGGCACGACGAUUUCGGAGCUGCAGGAUGGGCGCAACUCUGUGUCCGUU